UUUAAUUUAUUUAUUUUAAAUACUUUUGCAAUGCACAUAUCUUUUUACCUAAAUUUUCGAGCAAAUAUUACAAUAUUUUAAGGAAAAAAUUUAGUUAAAUUUAUUUUAAAAUUAAGUGAUAAAAUUAUGAUGUAACAUUCAUUCAACAUCAACAUUACAUAACACUGAUUGAUGAUUGAUUAUAUACACAAGAGGUACGUCUCACUGAAUAUAUAAUUUAUCCUAGACAGUUUCAGUCGUGUAACAAACAAAAUGCCAUAUUUAUUUAUGGCUAGGAAAUUAAACGUAUAGAAAUCAUUUUAACACAGGUAUGUUUAUGCAGGCGUUCAAAAACAGCGUUGGCAAUGAAACAUUUUUAUUUUUUAUUUUCAUAUUCUUAUUUUAGCUUUUUUAAUUGAAAGAAAUAUCAAU